rnacentral:tRNA from 1 species
GCGGGAGUAGCUCAGUCCGGUCAGAGCGCCUGGCCUCCAACCAGGAUGUCGCCGGUUCGAAUCCGGUCUCCCGCU